ACGAGAAUCUUUGAACAGAACUUUUCGGAGUGACGUUCAAAGAGGAAAGUGGCGGACGGGCGAGUAACGCGUGAGUAACCUGCCCAUAAGAGGGGGAUAAUCCAUGGAAACGUGGACUAAUACCGCAUAUUGUAGUUAAGUUGCAUGACUUGAUUAUGAAAGAUUUAUCGCUUAUGGAUGGACUCGCGUCAGAUUAGAUAGUUGGUGAGGUAACGGCUCACCAAGUCAACGAUCUGUAGCCGAACUGAGAGGUUGAUCGGCCGCAUUGGGACUGAGACACGGCCCAGACUCCUACGGGAGGCAGCAGUGGGGAAUAUUGCGCAAUGGGGGCAACCCUGACGCAGCAACGCCGCGUGCAGGAAGAAGGUCUUCGGAUUGUAAACUGUUGUCGCAAGGGAAGAAGACAGUGACGGUACCUUGUGAGAAAGUCACGGCUAACUACGUGCCAGCAGCCGCGGUAAUACGUAGGUGACAAGCGUUGUCCGGAUUUACUGGGUGUAAAGGGCGCGUAGGCGGACUGUCAAGUCAGUCGUGAAAUACCGGGGCUUAACCCCGGGGCUGCGAUUGAAACUGACAGCCUUGGGUAUCGGAGAGGAAAGCGGAAUUCCUAGUGUAGCGGUGAAAUGCGUAGAUAUUAGGAGGAACACCAGUGGCGAAGGCGGCUUUCUGGACGACAACUGACGCUGAGGCGCGAAAGUGUGGGGAGCAAACAGGAUUAGAUACCC
rnacentral:rRNA from 1 species